rnacentral:lncRNA from 1 species
CCUCUUUCAAGGACUUACUCUGCCACCAACGUUUUAGGCCCAACUUCUGCUCCCGUGAGCUGCGUUACCACCAACAUUGCUCGGAUCCAUCCAUCACUGGCCAGCAAUAUCAGCCUUCUACUUCUUCUCACUCAGCAGAGCAGUACCAGCCGUCGACUUCCUCUCAUCCACCUCAGCGGGAUUCUGAUUCCUCAGGUAUCAUUCUUUCAACUACAUCUCCUUCUUCUCAUCUUUGGAUCAUCAAUCCCAGCUCAACGGAUCAUCUUGCCUGCUCUCUUUCCCUCCUUUCUACUUUUCAUCCGGUCAUUAACAUGACUGUGCUUCUCCCCACUGGUCAUCAGGCCGUCGUCACCCACCUUUGGUGUGCCCGCCUGACUCCGACCAUCACCAUCGCUAGCGUUUUCGUUAUUCCUUCUAUUGCAUUCAAGCUCAUCUCUAUCUGUCGAUUGGUUUCGCAAAUCCAUUGUAUCGUUGAUUUUUAUUCCAACUUUUGUCAUCUCCAGGACAAGGAUACUUCCAAAUGAUUGGGAAAGCUAGAAUGGUUAAUGGUCUCUACAGUUCUUUCAAGCUUUUCUGCUUCUAUCUCAGCAACUCAGCUUGUACAGCCCACUGGCAUCCCGCAUCAUUUUGACCUCUGUCACUAUCGGCUUCCUCUACUCAUUCUCUCGAUUUGUCUUGUGGUUGUUCUCACUAUGGUUCUUGCCUUCCUUUUGAGGCCGUUGAGGGAGCCUCGUGUGAUUACAGAGAUAGUGGCAACUCUGGCAAGUUCCUUACCUUCUUGUCGCUUUAAAAAACUUCCUUGUUUUAGUCACAUGAGUAGCCUAUGAGUACUUUUCUGUUGUAGCAUACGAUGACAUGAUAUACAAUUGAGGUUUGUUGGGAGGAGAGUGUGAGAGAGGGAGAAUGCUUUUUCUUUUAACAUGGACGAAACAGAGAGAGAAAUGGAGGGUAGGUGGACAGAGUGGGAAGGUGGACUCGUAUUGUGGGUUUAG